ACAUCAUAUUUACAACAUAUUAUAAAUGUUCGUUGUUGCUUAUAGUUUUCCACAACGGGCAAACAAUGUGUGUUGUUAAAAACUGUAUACCACAACAUGCGUCAUUUGCAUGUUGUUAAUUUAGUUAUUGACAACUCACCUUACACGUUUUUAUUUUUAAGUUGUCAAUUAAAACAUUAACAAGUAUAAAUGCAUCUUGUUAAAUAUUUUCAAAACAACAACGUGCAGCGAACACUGUUAAAACUUUGAGAAAAAAGAUACAAGAAAACUUGCAGAACAAUUGUGCUCAACAAGCACCUGUGGGCUGUGGACUAAAGUCACUACAAACUCAACUCGAUCUUUCUCAAAGAAAAAAAGAGAAAAAGAAAAAAAAUAUUAAAAAAUCAGCCCUCUGAAUCCAUCAGAGAUCCAAAACGUAUAAAAUCCUGGGCUUGAAGAAUUGAACUCUGAAGCUCUAGACUCUCAUUCUCUCAAACGGCUUCGCCCUCACCAGCUUAAACCCUAAACCGCACGAAACGAUGUCGUGGCUUCCCUCCGCCGUCGCUCUCAAUUGCAUCGACGACUUCGCCAUGAAGCAAGACCACUUCUCCGGCGUCGCCGCCGUCGAGCACAUCCCGCUCAGCCACUUGGCCGACGGCAGGAUCGACUCUGCCUCGGCUGUGGUCCUCCAAUCAUUCGCGUACCUCCCACGUGCCGCCCAGCGUCAGCUACGUCCUUACCAGCUCAUCCUCUGCCUCGGCUCCGGCGACUGCGCCACUGACUCCACUUUCACUGCCGACCUCGGUUGUCAAUCUCCGAAGCAUUUCGAUGGCCGGAUUUCUGGCGUUUACGGCUACGAAGAUGAUGCAAAAUGUGGUAUGCCGACAUGGAUCUGCAAGGGGCUUACUUAUUUUCUUAUUUGCAGGCCUGGUUUACUUCUAUCUCUAAGGCUUUUGAUCUGUUGGAAAUGGUAAAGGCAAUCAAAGCUUUUCCAGCAGUCCAUGGAUGCUUAGAAAGGGGAUUCUUGCAGCAGGAGAAUCUGUUGCAACAUGGUCUUCCUGUUGUGCUCUAAGUAUCUAUCGCGCAGGCAUAGCUUUAGAUAUUACAGGUUUCGUUGGCCAAACCAGCUGCUAGGAUUCUUGAAGUUACUGGAAAAACUGCACAGAGCAUUAGAACCCGAUAGGAUCCAUUGAACUUCCUCUUAAUUUAUGAUAUUUGUAGUCACAACAAUGCUUGUUUUGUCAAUUACCAAUGAUCCACAAAGGAUUCAGUACUUUGUCUUGCAUUUUUUGUUAGGAAUAUAUCUAUUAGACAAUAUGGUACUCUUAAUGAAAUGUAUAUUUUUCUUUUA